rnacentral:rRNA from 1 species
ACGGGUGAGUAACGCGUGGAUAACCUGCCGUAUACAGGGGGAUAACACUUAGAAAUAGGUGCUAAUACCGCAUAAGCGCACGGUUCCGCAUGGAACAGUGUGAAAAACUCCGGUGGUAUACGAUGGAUCCGCGUCUGAUAAGCCAGUUGGCGGGGUAACGGCCCACCAAAGCGACGAUCAGUAGCCGGCCUGAGAGGGUGAACGGCCACAUUGGGACUGAGACACGGCCCAAACUCCUACGGGAGGCAGCAGUGGGGAAUAUUGCACAAUGGGGGAAACCCUGAUGCAGCGACGCCGCGUGAGUGAAGAAGUAUUUCGGUACGUAAAGCUCUAUCAGCAGGGAAGAAAAAAAGUCCUUUGGACUUUGGACGGUACCUGACCAAGAAGCCCCGGCUAACUACGUGCCAGCAGCCGCGGUAAUACGUAGGGGGCAAGCGUUAUCCGGAUUUACUGGGUGUAAAGGGAGCGUAGACGGCAGCGCAAGUCUGGAGUGAAAUGCCGGGGCCCAACCCCGGAACUGCUUUGGAAACUGUGCAGCUCGAGUGCAGGAGAGGUAAGCGGAAUUCCUAGUGUAGCGGUGAAAUGCGUAGAUAUUAGGAGGAACACCAGUGGCGAAGGCGGCUUACUGGACUGUAACUGACGUUGAGGCUCGAAAGCGUGGGGAGCAAACAGGAUUAGAUACCCUGGUAGUCCACGCCGUAAACGAUGAUUACUAGGUGUCGGGGGGCCAAGGCCCUUCGGUGCCGCCGCAAACG